GGGCGCAUGGCUCAGUGGUAGAGCGCGUCACUGAUAAUGACGAGGUCCUUGGUUCGAUCCCAAGUGCGCCCA
rnacentral:tRNA from 1 species